ensembl:lncRNA
CCUAGCUCAACCCUAACCAUAACCCUAACCCUAACCCUAAAUCUAGGUUCAUGUUCAUCCCCUGGCUCAACCCUAACCAUAACCCUAACCCUAACCCUAACUCUAGGUUCAUGUUCAUCCCCUGGCUCAACCCUAACCAUAACCCUAACCCUAACUCUAGGUUAAUGUUCAUCCCCUGGCUCAACAUUAACCAUAACCCUAACUCUAGGUUAAUGUUCAUCCCCUGGCUCAACCCUAACCAUAACCCUAACCCUAACUCUAGGUUCAUGUUCAUCCCCUGGCUCAACCCUAACCAUAACCCUAACCCUAACUCUAGG